rnacentral:rRNA from 1 species
AUUGAACGCUGGCGGCAGGCCUAACACAUGCAAGUCGAACGAGUGGCGGACGGGUGAGUAAUGUCUGGGAAAAUGCCUGAUGGAGGGGGAUAACUACUGGAAACGGUAGCUAAUACCGCAUACCAUCAGAUGUGCCCAGAUGGGAUUAGCUAGUUGGUGGGGGAACGGAUCACCAAGGCGACGAUCCCUAGCUGUGCUGAGAGGAUGACCAGCCACUCUGGAACUGGGACACGGGCCAGACUCCUACGGGAGGCAGCAGUGGGGAAUUUUGCCCAAUGGGUGCAAGCCUGAUGUAGCCAUCCCGCGUGUAUGAAGAAGGCCUUCGGGUUGUAAAGUACUUUUAGCGGGUAGGCGUUACCCGCAGAAUAAGCACCGGCUAACUCCGUGCCAGCAGCCGCGGUAAUAC